GUCUCAUUCUUUUCGACAGGAACUAAGCUUUUGUGCAGAAGCAGUGACAGAAUUUUGCUCUGGAAAUCAAUGUCGUCUUUUGGGUUCAAAACAUGGUUACCUGGACGGACAAACAAUACAACAUGGAAAAGGAAUAACAAUCCCAGGAGUCCCAAGAUGUAGUUGAAGACUCUGACCCUAUCCAUGACACUCAAUGUAUGGACCCAGAUGCAGCGAUGUCCGAACUCCGCAAUCUUGUGAUUCUCCUCCUUGUGUCCAUCCCUUCUAUAUAAGUAUCCUUUUGUAAGGCAGGGAGGCGGAGCCACUAAGCCACUUGCGUAUUGAAUCAAUACCAUGUCACUUUUUGUGUCGUCACUAUAGUCAAGCAUUUCACUUGGAUGAUAUUGCAUUGACGGAAAUAUGACGUUGUAGGCACUCUAUAUCACCGUGGCACCAGCAAAUCAGGCAGAGAGGGGAAGUAAUCUAUCUGCUUGAUGAUUAUGACAGAACUGAAUCACAUUUUUUGGCUCUUGCAAGGAUUUUUCUUUUAUAUUAAUUAAUUCCUUAAAUAGCAUCAUAAGAUUGUGUUGGUAUGGGCAGUGGGGCUAAGUAAAUUGAUUCUUUCCCAAAGUGCAUUAUAGCAAGAGAUGAGCUUCGCAGUCUUGGCCGCAGGACUCAUUCGGAGACGUAGGGAACAUUUAUCACGCAGGCCAGGCCAACUAACCAGCGCCUCACUAUAUCACGACACUUUUUGCGUCAAUGAAGCGCUGCCAGAAGAGCAGGUAUCGCGCGGGCGUGGUGUUAAGAAAAUGAGCUGGCAGGUGCCAGAUGAAUUUGGCCGGUCAGUGUGUCAUAAAUGUUCCUGCUUGGCGCCAGGCUUCAGUCAAGGGCCUGUUGACAUCUUGCAUCUCUGUCCAUACACCAUUUUGUGGAUCUAUCACUUGAGUUAUCCUGCUGCUGAACUUAAAUUGAGCGCUUGGACUCAAUGCAGAGUGAAGUGAUGUUAAGAUAAAUUAAAGGUCAGGGCAGGCUCUCUGGAAUUGGAUGACUAAAGUUUAUGUCGUUUAAAAAAAAAAAUCAGUUGUGACAAACUAAAGGAAUUGAAAUCCUAGGAAUACAUUUUUUUUUAACAAGUUUUCUAGUUUGAAGGCUCAGGGGAGCUGAUGCUCUGUACAUUCAGAACUGAUUCUUGUGUGUCUAUCGUUGUCGUUGUUGAGAUCCGUAGGGGUCUUGAAAAUAGUGUUUUUAUUUUGUUUAAAUGUUUUGUUUUUGGGGGGGUGUUCUCCCUUUUUGCUGUUUGGUUCAACAGAAUGAAGGAUCUGUACCCCUUUUAUGGUGGAACAGUUUUACUGUGGUUCUUUGGAUUCUGAUUGAUUUUUAGUGAAAAUAUAAGUUAGAAGAAAGUUUUAAAGGGGAGUGACAAACACAAAAAAAACAAAGAGCCAAGAUGAACAAGGAUAUAGGAAGAAAAGACAAUAAAAGUCAGCAAAUUAGCUCUAAUAAAGCUGAGUAAAGUAAAUCGUUCUAUGCUGAGUACAAUGACAGAUUAGAUUCAAGUGUUGUAUAUGUGUGUAGUGCUACACUCGCUGAAGGAAGGACAGGAUAGUUUAGGAUAGGAUGGGACAGGACAAGGGACAGGAGGGGAGGCAUGCAGGACAUUGUGUUUUGGAUUUGGCUGUACAACUGAAGUGUGGUUGGGGCGUCUGUAUAAAUUCCAAACAUCUUUAGAAAUGUUAGGGGAUGUCCAUGAGAUUGAAAUUGAUAUGAGUUAUUUAACACAAUUAGUGAGUGUCUCCGGACACAUGCAGGUGAAUUCACACCGUCUUGCAUGUACAAUAAUCUUCAAAAGUGAACUGUGAUUGCUGCACCUCCACAGUGAGAGCUGAGGACCCCACCCCACCCACCUGAGAGGCAGGGUCAUGGCCAGAAGCCCACUCAAAGAGCGGCCAGGUGGACAGGACACUACCCCUUCCGAGGGACCCGGUGUGGUCCACUAUGCUCCACUAAGGCACCCCAAAACCAGCCAUGAGGGGGUUGCUGCACGGGCCCAAACCACCCAUCCAAUCAACGAACCUCUCCUUCAUCACAAAGUGUUUUCAUGGCUGCUUGCCCAGAGUGUGGAUUAAAAGCAUUUUAGAGGGUGGAAAAAAAAAAUCAUCUUAUCUCAUGGGUUGCAUGGACAGUACACACCACCAAACCUUAACAUACUCAGCACCAAAACCGACACCAUCACUCAGAAAACAUGUAACCAUUAUCACAUGCAACAUGCAGUGGUAUCUUGACUUCAGAAUUCAGAGAUGCCCAACAUUUUUUUUUUAUUUUUAUGAGCUGUCACUUGGUUGAUUUUUUUAACGUUUUGUUCUUCGGAAAAAAUUGAGUCACAAGUGCGCUUCAGAUAAACUGCCUCCUGAGGAAAUUAACUGGACAUUUUAAAGCUUCCGCCGUGGUUUCUUCGUAUUAUAACAGAAGUUUAUUGCGAAUCAGAGACAAUCAGUCGAACAGAACAAAGCUUUUGAGGGGACAGCGAAAUGAAGACAAAUGACAAAGCACUAAUAAACAGAAUUAGAUAAGUAAAUUAUUAUAUAUGAAACAUGAAAUAGGGGGUGGUGCAUGGUGCUGUAGCGCUACACCCUGUGAGGGAAGGAGAGGACAAGACAGAACAGGACAAGUACAGGAGAAAUAUGUACGACAAGGGUCAUGAACCAGGCUGUACAAUUGAAGUGUGAUGGGAUUGACUAAAUUAAUUAUAAAAGUCUAUAGGACGAGAAUGUGAGUAAGGGAAUGCAGAAGCAAUUCACAUAUUCAUGAGUUAUUUGCUGCAAAAAGUGAGUAGACCUAUGCCCAGUGAAAGAGUCCCAGGGUGAAUUGAUACCGUUUCACAUGCACUAAAACAGACAAAGGCGUCCUGUAAUUACUGUUCAAUUACAGGAGGCUGAGGAACCCACGCAAUCUAUCGAAGUUAAAAAUGAGAAAAACACUGUUAAUUAUCUAAAAGAGUGUACAGUAGUCCGCCUUUCGCCUAGUGUUAGCUGGGAUAGGCUCCUGGACUCCCGCGACCCUUGUGUGGAUAAACGGCUUGGAAAAUGUAUGGAUGGAUGGAUGGAAAGCUAUUGGUCAUUCACUAUUUACUGAAAUGUCUCCUUCCCGCUUGUAUUUUCACAAUUAGCAAUUAUUAAAGCAAUAAUAAACCAA